GCUCAGUGUGUGUGGGGUGGGACGAUGCCGCUCUCCCAGCUCCACCGGAGGGCGGGUUGCUCAACGCUUGUGCCGCAGUUUCCCACCCAUACAGUAUGGGCAGGAUUACCGCCUCUAAUCAGCCGUGAGGACCAGCU
rnacentral:snoRNA from 1 species